rnacentral:misc_RNA from 1 species
GAUGAAGAACGUAGUGAAAUGCGAUAAGUAAUGUGAAUUGCAGAAUUUAGUGAAUCAUCGAAUCUUUGAACGCACAUUGCGCCCGCCAGUAUUCUGGCGGGCAUGCCUGUUCGAGCGUCAUUUCAACCAUCAAGCCCCCGGCUUGUGUUGGGGACCUGCGGCUGCCGCAGGCCCUGAAAAGCAGUGGCGGGCUCGCUGUCACACCGAGCGUAGUAGCAUACAUCUCGCUCUGGGCGUGCUGCGGGUUCCGGCCGUUAAACCACCUUCAUAACCCAAGGUUGACCUCGGAUCAGGUAGGAAGACCCGCUGAACUUAAGCAUAUCAAUAAGCGGAGGA